UUAUCUUCUUUUUUACGAUUCUGUUUGAUUUUUUUUUACGAUCUUAAAAUUUGAAACACACGAUUUAUUCAUUAAGAAGAUCAAUCUUCUUUUGACUCCUAAAUUCUCUCCCAUCAUUCUUUUUUUUCCCGAUUUUUUACCCAUCACUAACCUAGUGAUUUCAAUCGUCCACCGUCUGUUCCGCCAGUGCCGCCUCAAACGCCACUGCAUAACAAAUCCGGCAACCGGAGCUCCGAUUCAGAGAGAUCCCAACAACAACAAGAUGUUCUUGAAGAAGAUAGGCAGAAAAUUGAAGGAAGAACAAGAUUCACAAUGUAACUAUCCGGUUUCUGUCAUUCUAAAGGCUUAAAUAUAAUAUAAUUGUGGAGGACGUUGCAUCAGAGUUGUAAAUAUCUUUCACAAGCUUGAUGUGCUAUGAGAUUUGGAGAUCUUCCCUCCUGGGCCAUUUAACUCUCCAAUUCAAUUCGUGAAACACUUCAGUUCGCCGGCGAAGAAAAACUGCUACGAUUUAUGCUUGUCUCUAUAAUUCUAAAACUGUUGUCUUCUUAGUAAAACGAUAGUAAAUUGUUAGUAAACAGUUAGUAAAUUAACUUAUCUUUUAGUAAACGGUUAGUAAUUUUUUUAGUAAUUGAAAAUAAAUGGGUGUUGGGUACUGUUGCAAAAUUUUAUUUUUGUUGCUAGUUAACCAAUGGUGUACUAAUGGUACACCAAUAACCUUAUUUUUAUUACACUGUUAGUAGACGUUGGGUUAACCGUUGGUAAAUGUAAUAAUUUUAAUUUUGAA